CAAAAACAUGUCUUUUUGUUAAAAAUAUAAAGUCUAACCUGCCCACUGAUAAUUAUUAAAGGGCCGCGGUAUAUUGACUGUGCAAAGGUAGCAUAAUCAUUUGUCUCUUAAUUGGAGGCUGGAAUGAAUGGUUGAAUGAAAUAUUAACUGUCUCAUUAUUAAAAAAAUAAAAAUUUAGCUUUUAAGUUAAAAGGCUUAAAUUAUUUUAGAGGACGAGAAGACCCUAUAGAUCUUUAUAUUUAUAAUAAUUUAAUAAUUUGAAUUAUAUUAAUUAAUUUAUGAAUAAAUAUUUUGUUGGGGUGAUAGGAAAAUUUAAUAAACUUUUUUUAAUUUAAAACAUUGAUUUAUGAAUAAUUGAUCCAUUUUUAGUGAUUAUAAGAUUAAGUUACCUUAGGGAUAACAGCGUAAUUUUUUUAGAGAGUUCAUAUCGAUAAAAAAGAUUGCGACCUCGAUGUUGAAUUAAAGGUUAUUUCUAGAUGUAGCAGUUUAGAGUUUAGGUCUGUUCGACCUUUGAAUCUUUACAUGAUCU
rnacentral:rRNA from 1 species